UGGAUAUGUUAAUAGCAUAUUCAUUUGACGUUAGCUGCAGAAGAAGCACCGGCUAACUCCGUGCCAGCAGCCGCGGUAAUACGGAGGGUGCGAGCGUUAAUCGGAAUUACUGGGCGUAAAGCGCAUGCAGGUGGUUUGUUAAGUCAGAUGUGAAAGCCCGGGGCUCAACCUCGGAAUUGCAUUUGAAACUGGCAAACUAGAGUACUGUAGAGGGGGUAGAAUUUCAGGUGUAGCGGUGAAAUGCGUAGAGAUCUGAAGGAAUACCGGUGGCGAAGGCGGCCCCCUGGACAGAUACUGACACUCAGAUGCGAAAGCGUGGGGAGCAAACAGGAUUAGAUACCCUGGUAG
rnacentral:rRNA from 1 species